UACGUAGGUGGCAAGCGUUGUCCGGAAUUAUUGGGCGUAAAGCGCGCGCAGGCGGUCUCUUAAGUCUGAUGUGAAAUCCCGUGGCUUAACCACGGGCGGUCAUUGGAAACUGGUGGACUUGAGUGCAGAAGAGGAGAGUGGAAUUCCACGUGUAGCGGUGAAAUGCGUAGAGAUGUGGAGGAACACCAGUGGCGAAGGCGACUCUCUGGACUGUAACUGACGCUGAGGCGCGAAAGCGUGGGGAGCAAACAGG
rnacentral:rRNA from 1 species